rnacentral:rRNA from 1 species
CAGCCGCCGCGGUAAUACGUAGGUCCCGAGCGUUGUCCGGAUUUAUUGGGCGUAAAGCGAGCGCAGGCGGUUAGAAAAGUCUGAGGUGAAAGGCAGUGGCUCAACCAUUGUAGGCUUUGGAAACUGCUUAACUUGAGUGCAGAAGGGGAGAGUGGAAUUCCAUGUGUAGCGGUGAAAUGCGUAGAUAUAUGGAGGAACACCGGUGGCGAAAGCGGCUCUCUGGUCUGUAACUGACGCUGAGGCUCGAAAGCGUGGGGAGCGAACAGGAUUAGAUACCCGUGUAGUCCCUGUCUCUUAUACA